rnacentral:tRNA from 1 species
AGCACGGUGGCGUAGUGGUUGGCACUGUUGCCUCGCAAGAAGGAGGUUACGGGUUUGAGUCCUGUUUGUGUGG